rnacentral:rRNA from 1 species
GGGGUAAACGGAAAAGACCUGAAUAUCCGAAAGGGGAGAUUCACGUCUUACCAGUUGCUCAACUUUUAAAUGAUUUGAGAUGGCCUCUCGCCCUAUUCAGUGUAACAGCUGUGGUAGUGGGUUUGGUCGCUCGCAUUUAAAUUGGAAGGGUAAUGGUGGACCGCACUUCUCCCUUAGUAGGACGUUGCGACCUGUCAAAUAAUAUCCUAAGUAUUUGGCUAAUUUGUCUGUUUUUAGGCAGUACUGAAAGGUAUUUCCUUUAACAGUUUUAGCCGUUUCAAAUACUGGAUAAAAUUGACAGUAACGAAUCAUGGUGUUGAGCCACUUGAAAUUGUAUAUUAUAUGUAUAAUGGAAAGUGUCCUUGUGGCUGUUUGCAAGUGGGUUGGUAAUUAGUUUUAGUCGGAUUUUGGUCCGUCUAGCUAUUCC